AGCCAUGCAUGUCUAAGUUCACACUGUCCCACGGUGAAACCGCGAAUGGCUCAUUAAAUCAGUCGAGGUUCCUUAGAUGACACGAUCCUACUUGGAUAACUGUGGCAAUUCUAGAGCUAAUACAUGCUUACCAAGCUCCGACCCUCGUGGAAAGAGCGCUUUUAUUAGUUCAAAACCAAUCGUCGUUUACCCUUCGCGGGGUGUGCGGCGUCCCCACUGGUGACUCUGGAUAACUUUGUGCUGAUCGCAUGGCCUCACGUGCCGGCGACGCAUCUUUCAAA
rnacentral:rRNA from 1 species